CAGCCGCCGCGGUAAAACGGAGGAUCCAAGCGUUAUCCGGAAUCAUUGGGUUUAAAGGGUCCGUAGGCGGUCUUGUAAGUCAGUGGUGAAAGCCCAUCGCUCAACGGUGGAACGGCCAUUGAUACUGCAGGACUUGAAUUAUUGGGAAGUAACUAGAAUAUGUAGUGUAGCGGUGAAAUGCUUAGAGAUUACAUGGAAUACCAAUUGCGAAGGCAGGUUACUACCAAUUGAUUGACGCUGAUGGACGAAAGCGUGGGUAGCGAACAGGAUUAGAUACCCCUGUAGUCCCUGUCUCUUAUAA
rnacentral:rRNA from 1 species